UGGACCCAACUCAGCCUCAACAUGGCCCGCAUCCACCACUCCCGCCACGGGCUUCUAACCCGCCUCCCAGGUCCCCACCACUUUUCCUCCGCCCUGAGAUCCUCAAGAAAUAGAAGACAGGAGAAUAGGCAGGGACAAAGAUAGAUAGACAGACAGAUGAUUGAUUGAUAGAUAAAUAGAUAGAUAGAUAGAUAGAUAGAUAGAUAGAUAGAUAGAUAGAUAGACAGACAGACAUCCCAGAAGAAGAUGAGUGUGGAAGGUGGCAGCUUUGGGGCGGUGUCUGAACAGAUGGACCUCCUUUCUCAGCGACGAGGAAGAUGGUGGAGGAGAGAGAGGCUGGGAGGCAACCAGAGUCAAGCGGGGGAAAAUUCCUCAAACUAAACCAAAAGAGCAUCUUAAUAUGUGGCUCGGUUUCCGAACGUAUAGCUUGGAUCUUCGCUCUGCAUCUCAGAGACCUUUAAGACUAUAUUCACAGACUUUAGCAAGGAAGUCCAAACUAUUUUAACUCUGAGCCAGACCAGAAAAUCUGCGGAGAAUCCACGGAGAAAUUUUUGACAGACGAUGUGGAAAAAGCACUAUAAUAGGAUUUUCAAUGUUGGUUCAAGAAAACGCCGCUGAAAGGAAGGUGAAUGGGGUUGAGGGAAGGAGCCGCGCCUUCUCGGUGUCUCUGAAGUCACAAACGUAAGCAUUGAUGUCAUUGGCGAAGAUAUCCAGGGGUGGAAACUGAGGUAGCCCAGCAGUACCGGAAUCCCAUAGUAAACCUGGUACGUUUUUUGAGGGUGGUAGAAAAGGGCUACAGAGGUUUGCAGAAGGGCAAGAUUGUGGUGGCACUCCGCUAGGUAUUAAGGCUCAUUUAACAGCACUUGUGUGUCACUCAAAUUCCAACUUGGGAACCGAAGGAUUUCAGCCGGAGUUGGAGAGGCCAGAAUAAGUGACAUGCGCUCUUUCAUCCUUGGUCACGCUACUGGUUUUACCACCUGGAUACAAGUUCAAAGAAACCUCUUGCAGCGUCAGGAACUCUCUCUCUGCAUGUCCUGGAGUUUCCUUUGUGUUUUUGGAACUUUCAAGAUCACUGACUCCUAACAAACUUUUAACGAAUAUAUUAGCAGUUAAAUGAAUCAAUAAGUAACGAUUUUGUUGAUUCUAAAACUGACGCUGGCGCGAGGAAGAAGUGUUGGAAUUCUAGUGUUACUCUUAAUGUAUUCAACGGUUACAGACCGAAGUACCACCAGGAGCUUCGAUGUUUUAUUCUUCUAGUCCUCAAGAGCUUUUAUCCUAGGUGUCAAGAACUGAGGCUUCUACUUGCUCAAAAAUAACCUGAAAGGAAACUCUCUGAUACAGUUCCUGCAGUCACACAUCCUCUUCACCCGUCCCAAAGAAUUACAUUCUGGCUUUCGAGGAUCCCUCUUGCACAUUCCGACUGGUGUUUAUAGACCUUCGAAGUUCACAUGUAGGCCGGG